CUAACCUCAUCGUCAAUGAACUGUUGAAUUUCUGCAUUCUCGCUGGAGUCCAAAAAUCCUGCCAAACCAAAGUCGUCAUCAAAUUGCACAGGAACAUUUUGGUCGUCGGCCACUCUGCCGAAAUGGAGCAAUGACGUCGCUGUCGUGUGUCCUAAAACCGACGACGGUGACAUUCCUGAUUCGUAUGUUGUUGUUUACAGUACCAAGGAGCAAAGACUCAGACGUCUUUCGACAAUGAAUGUUCGCUCGCUAUAGAAUCGCUACUCGCGAAAAGGAAUUUAAUCCAAUCACAAAAAGUGGGAAACUUUUCCAACAAUAUUUGGUUGAUACUGAAAUUAAACGUGAGAAAGACGUUAUCAACUACUUGAGGUAUCAACUCCAACCGACUAAACGUGUAGAUAAGUGCAGCAGUUUGAAAGCAAACUUGGAAAAGCUUGCAAAAGAAAUGAAGAAAUGACUCGUCGUUCGUUGGAUCGCCACGUUACAUGUUGGUCGCUUGUUGCGUUUUGUUAGUUAAUGAUGACUUGGUGUUUACUAAUUUUGUAAUUUUUCUAGAAUAUCCAGCAUUUUUCCCUUUGGAGCAUUUUACCCUUGGUUAAGUCAUCUACUGAAGGAAGGCGCAUUUCUCUCCCAUAACGAAGCAGUUCUGUGUAUCUGUCGAUGUGCCGACGUGUCCCGUCGCAUCACGGUCUCGAAAGAAGCAAGUCUGGAUUAGUUUGCUUGUCAGCUCUGUCUUUUUCGCUCGAGAUAAACCUCCAGCGUUCCACUGUAAAAUUCUUAACUUAUCGGGUGUGGAGUGUUAUAUUGUACAGGUCAAUAUGACCUACUGAAUGAAAGCUACGUUAAUAUUAUUUAAUUUUAAAAUACACUUCCUUGUUGUGACAUUCCCUAGAUUGAGAAUCCGAAUCCUCCAUCCGUUAUGUAGCUCGAAACCAGACCAAGUUCCUCAUCUACAGUCACAGUUGAACAAACAACAGACCACACACCGCUGUGAGCAGCAGAUUCUAGUGCCUUUGAGUACAGAUCCUGCAAAUUUAUACGGAUCAAAUGACGGGCAGCUGUGACGUGGUUCGAGAGAACCGCCCUUGGAAUCGGCGUUUCUCAUUGGUCAGUCACGUAUUGCCUUAUUUCCCAAGAGAAACACAGAUCUUUGACGCUGAUUCAUGCGGUGGGAAGAGUGGUUGGUUUAGUCCGUCUCCGGACGUCCUCUCAGUCAUCCUAUAUGUUGCGUAACACUGAAAUUCCUAGAUUUAUGAAGCGAGUCCUACUCGGGGGUGCAAAUACACGGCAAAGGGGCUCCGGCACAACAGGGGUUGUAUGUCAUGUCUAUAAAGACCUCUUUGCCGUAAAGACGACGAGGUAGGUCUAUGUCGCACCCCCGUUCCAUUGAUUUUACAGGUCUUUGUUACGCGGGUCGAAGUAGGCAAGCUAUAUACCCAAAAAGGCAUUUUCCCCUUGGAAUUUAUCCAAACUGGUCUAAAAUUUGGUCUUAAUAUAAGUUUCCGACAAAAGUCGUGAGCGACUUCAUUCUGCCCAAAAUAUAAGGCAACUCGUUUGUGAAUGAGUGGAAAUGUAGCAUCACAAAUAGUCAGAAGUCCAUGUUUACAAUCCUGAAUGUCUGCCUGCUGCAACAGUGAGUAGUGUUGUCUGUUUUCCGUCACUGCGAAAUAUUUCACUUCUGGUUCCAGUUGCAUAGGUCUAUUCAGCAGUGCAGAGAAGGUGGGUAGUGGUUCUACCUUAUACAAUGACAUUGCUCGAUCAGUGCCCCGUAAUGGAAUGCGUACUAAUAAUCGAAUUGAAUUUUCUGUAGCAUAGGCUUGUACCUUCGCAAUAUCAUAAGAGAUAUACAUGUUAUCUACAUCCGUGUUUGUAAUCAGUGAAACGUCACGUGAUAAUUUCAGAGCAAUUUGGCCUCUUAAAUUAGGUCAGACGGUGGUAGAAGAACUGACGAUAAUCUUCCCAAUGAUGUUACGUCAAUAUGUAUUUGAAUACGUUCCUGCUGUUGUAUUGAUAAAUUCAAGGUUAGAAAUGACGUGGAUGUUCUGUGUGAAGACGAUUCCGUUGACGUGAGAUAUGAGGUUUACACACCAUAAACUUUUCCGAUAAUAAAGGAUGAAUGGAGGGUAAGCCUCCUUUUAACCAAAUUAUUUAUGGUACUUAUCUCUACGUGUUGAACCGAUAGCUGCUCCUCCUCCGGUCCAUUUGCUACCAUUUAUGAACCAUCAGCUCAUCCGGUCCACCUAAUACUCGCUGACUCGGUUGGUCGUGUAUUCUACGCCCCGAGAUAUUCGUGCGGAAACCAAGGAACAUUGAAGGCAGUUGAACAUCACAAUCAAUUAAAAUUAAAUCCCAAUCAAUUUUGAAGUUAAACAAACAAAAAUGAAUUUAAUGUGAAAAAUUGAUAAAAAAAACAAUUACAAAAAAGAAAAGAAAACUGUGUUACAAAACAAGAAUACAAUUAAUCUUUCGGAAGAUAAUAUUAAAGCUACACAAACAUACGCCCAAGUGUGUCCAUACUUGAUGGCAGCCACACCUUCAACAUCAUUGAGAAACAAUUCUCCAUUUAAACAGAAUACUACAUAAGGCCCCCCUUAAAAUUUGAAUGUUCGCUAGUAUUUGUUUAAUACUAGCAAACGUCCCUUCAGCCGCCAGUCCGGCCG